GACGAACGCUGGCGGCGUGCUUAACACAUGCAAGUCGAACGGAAAGGCCUCUUUCGGGGGGUACUCGAGUGGCGAACGGGUGAGUAACACGUGAGUAACCUGCCCUUGACUUUGGGAUAACUUCAGGAAACUGGGGCUAAUACCGGAUAGGAGCUCCUGCUGCAUGGUGGGGGUUGGAAAGUUUCGGCGGUUGGGGAUGGACUCGCGGCUUAUCAGCUUGUUGGUGGGGUAGUGGCUUACCAAGGCUUUGACGGGUAGCCGGCCUGAGAGGGUGACCGGCCACCUUGGGACUGAGAUACGGCCCAGACUCCUACGGGAGGCAGCAGUGGGGAAUCUUGCACAAUGGGUGGGAGCCUGAUGCAGCAACGCCGUGUGCGGGAUGACGGCCUUCGGGUUGUAAACCGCUUUCGCUCAUGACGAAGCUUUGUGUGACGGUAGUGGGUAAAGAAGCACCGGCUAACUACGUG
rnacentral:rRNA from 1 species